CGGAACCCGCGCAGUUGGCCGGUUCUCCCACGCUGUGGCGAGAGGCCGGCGAGAUUUCAAACGGUGUUUCUGCACACGCAGAGUCGUUUGUCUAAAGCCGAGACCGACGGCGUCCUCAGGCAGGCGGGGAAGGGGUUGCCCGUGAGCCCAGCCCACCGGCCUGCGGCGAAGUUUGGAGCGAGUGCCCGCGUGCCUGGCCGAGACGGGCCGGGGCCGCCCAAUCUCCUCGUGCAACCUGCAGUGGGUGUCGUGUGCUGUGUUUGGGAGGUGGCCCGCGGCGACUCCCCUGCUUGCCCCCAGGUCGCCUACCUGAGUCGGCUGCGGCUGCUGCCUUGACACCAGCCGAAGAGUCUGCGACCUUAACCUCAGGCUCCAGGAACAACCCAAGCAGCCAUCCCUUCUACUUAGGAGCUAUACUCUGGAGACCAGCUGCUCUAACUGGUCUACUUUCCCAGGAAGCCGCCGUCAUGCACGAAUACCACAGUGAAAACCCUUGAAGGGGUGAGGAAUUACUUACCUUGCAGAAGAUCUUAAUACAGAGUUCCUGGGAAGAGAGAAUGCACCUGGUGCAAGAAAAUGACUGAAUGGAAAUGCUAUUAUAAGACUGUUGAUUUGGGGCCAGCAUUGUGCACAGCUCAUGAAACCACCACUUGUGAUGCCAGCGUUCCACAUCAGAGUGCCAGUUCCUGUCCUGCCUGCUCCACUUCCCCUCCAUCUCCCUGCUAAUACACAAGGGAAAGCAACAGAAAAUGGUGCAAGUACUUGAGCCCCUGCAUCCAUGUGGGAGACCUGGAUGGCGUUCCAGCUCCUGAUUUCUGCUUGGCCCAGCUCCAAGCUGUUGUGGGUAUUUGGAAGUGAACUAGCAGAUGGAAGAUAUCACUCUCUCUUCUCUCUCCUCUCUCUCUCUCUCUCUCACUCUGCCUUUCAAACAAACAGUAUGGAGCUACAUCAAAAAAUUAAGAAGAGGGCCAGCGCCGUGGCUCACUAGGCUAAUCCUCCGCCUUGCGCCGGCACACCGGGUUCUAGUCCCGGUCGGGGCAUCGAUCCUGUCCCGGUUGCCCCUCUUCCAGGCCAGCUCUCUGCUGUGGCCAGGGAGUGCAGUGGAGGAUGGCCCAAGUGCUUGGGCCCUGCACCCCAUGGGAGACCAGGAGAAGCACCUGGCUCCUGCCAUCGGAUCAGCGCAGUGCGCCGGCCGCAGCGCGCCUACCACGGCGGCCAUUGGAGGGUGAACCAACGGCAAAAGGAAGACCUUUCUCUCUGUCUCUCUCUCUCUCACUGUCCACUCUGCCUGUCAAGAAAAAAAAAAAAUAAGAAGAGAACUAUCACAUGCUCCAGCUGGACUAGAAAGGAUUGGGGAUUAGUUAAGAGAAUCUGACACUCCAUGAGAAAGGCCUCUAAAAGUGUCUUGACUAUUCUCUUGGUAAUGACAGACUAGAUAUCCUGGGCCACCCUGUGGCUGAAUGCAAUUUAAAAUCAGGAUUAGGGGGCUGAUCUUGUGAUGUGGCAGGUUAAGGCACUGCUUUCAAUGUUGGCAUCCGUAUUAGAGUGCUGCUCGUCUUCCAAUCAAGCUCUCAGCUAAUGCGUCUGGGAACGCAUAUGAAGAUGGCCCAGGGUGGGCUCCUGCCAUCCACAUGGAGUUCUGGGCUCCUGGCUUCAUCCUGGCCCGGUGCUGACCAUUUUAGCCAUAUGAGGGAGUGAAUUAGCAGAUGGAAGCUCUCUUUCUCUCUCAGUCUCUCCUUCUCUGUCACUCCGUCUUUCAAAUAAAUAAAAUAAAUCUUUUUUUAAAAAAUCAGGAUUAAAUGAGCUAAUACGAUAGUGAGCAACAACUGGGCCAAGUUUGGGGCAAAAGUAGAUUGGAAAUCCAGAAAUGAAAGCCAGGCAUUUGGGGCUCUCCUACCUUGAGGACACUAAAAGGCCCUAAGGCAAGACUGAGUGACACUUUCC